UGGACCACCAGUCCUCAAAUAGACGUGAUGGGAGAGACAUCUAAGCGUGCAUGGUCACUCACACUGCCUCUGUUGGUGUCGCUCCUGGUUGUGAGCGCUACCAUGGCGGAUGAUAACCAGAAGACACAACCUACAAUUUCCGAAGUAAUGACCCGGAUCACGGAACUCAUAAAGUACAAGGCGCCGCACUGUGAGGACCGUACGAUGAAGGACGCUUACUUUACGACGCAGAUCAAGUCCUUGACAGAUAUCCUCAUCUUCCAGGAGGGGAUGAUGAGUGACCUUCGCUACAUGGCUAAUAAACUCAGUGAUAACAUCAACGGAUACCUGCCGGAGUCCCUGAGGGCCCAUACAUCCCCUGUUACGAAUGCCUAGUCACUCCUAUUAUCUACCUGAUGCGAUAGGUGGGUAAGGACGACGCGUCUCUACCUUGGCUGCUGCUGUCUAGUGACCCAGUCCUCUAUAUCAUCAUGCAUACUAUGUACAUGAUUCAUCGAAUGAUCUUUAAACCCCUUGUGUACAGCGUCCUCUCUCUACUGAAUAAAAUCGUCUCGUGUUAGCCAAAUAGAGUACUAGAAGAGGCGUCCAUGUAGAGGGGUUUAUCAUAUUCAAAUUGCUGGUUGAGAAAGAGGAUACUAAAACAGUUAUAUAACUA